rnacentral:rRNA from 1 species
CCUACGGGUGGCAGCAGUGGGGAAUAUUGCACAAUGGGGGAAACCCUGAUGCAGCGACGCCGCGUGAGUGAAGAAGUAUUUCGGUAUGUAAAGCUCUAUCAGCAGGGAAGAAAAUUACGGUACCUGACUAAGAAGCCCCGGCUAACUACGUGCCAGCAGCCGCGGUAAUACGUAGGCGGCAAGCGUUAUCCGGAUUUACUGGGUGUAAAGGGAGCGUAGACGGCCAGACAAGUCAGAAGUGAAAGCCGAGGGCUCAACCCUGGGACUGCUUUUGAAACUGGCGGGCUGGAGUGAAGUAGAGGCAGGCGGAAUUCCUAGUGUAGCGGUGAAAUGCGUAGAUAUUAGGAGGAACACCAGUGGCGAAGGCGGCCUGCUGGGCUUUAACUGACGCUGAGGCUCGAAAGCGUGGGGAGCAAACAGGAUUAGAUACCCUAGUAGUC